rnacentral:rRNA from 1 species
GACGUAGGAGGCGAGCGUUAUCCGGAUUUAUUGGGCGUAAAGCGCGUGCAGGCGGUUCUGUAAGUUGGGUAUGAAAUCUCCUGGCUUAACUGGGAGAGGCUACACAAAACUGCAGAGCUUGAGAAUGGGAGAGGGAGGUGGAAUUCCGGGUGUAGUGGUGAAAUGCGUAGAUAUUAGGAGGAACACCAGUAGCGAAGGCGGCUCUCUGGACUGUAACUGACGCUGAGGCACGAAAGCGUGGGGAGCAAACAGGAUUAGAUACCCGGGUAGU